UACGUAGGUGGCAAGCGUUGUCCGGAAUUACUGGGUGUAAAGGGAGCGCAGGCGGGAAGCCAAGUCAGCUGUGAAAACUACGGGCUUAACUUGUAGACUGCAGUUGAAACUGGUUUUCUUGAGUGAAGUAGAGGUUGGCGGAAUUCCGAGGGUAGCGGUGAAAUGCGUAGAUAUUCGGAGGAACACCGGUGGCGAAGGCGGCCAACUGGGCUUUAACUGACGCUGAGGCUCGAAAGUGUGGGGAGCAAACAGG
rnacentral:rRNA from 1 species